GCCUAUCACAGUCCACUGCUGGACAUAGGCCUCCACAAUCGCCUCUUACGACACCCACGGGAAGAGAGGGGGUGGAUAUAUUCUUCAUUGCCGUAACCGCACAGCAUCCGUAACCAUACAGUACUACUACUACUACACUAUUUUCGAUACAAAACAAUAACUUUAAUUUUACAACACUUUUAUUAAUAACUUUAACGUUACACUCGAUAACAAUAUUUCAAUGAAUACAAAU
rnacentral:misc_RNA from 1 species